rnacentral:tRNA from 1 species
GGUAGGAUGGCUGAGUAAGCGGUGGAUUGUAACCCCACAUACAGAGGUUUGAGCCCUCUUCCUGUCAG